CACAGCCCCCACUUUUAGAUGAUGAGUGAGGCUAUUUCUUUUUACAUUUUUAUUUUUGAUAGGGCACAGCAUAACAAACCAGUGCGCAAAGAUAUUUUCCUAUAGAAUAAACGGUAACGCACAAGCAUAAAUAAAACAGAAAAUGUUUGAAUACAGCACUUUUUAUAUGACUUGAGCAAUAAUAAUCUAGCUAAUUUGUUAGUGGAGAUGAGAAGAAAAAAACACAUAAAACACUGCUGGGUAUACUGACUGAUAAUGAGUUUAGAAUAAUAGUUUAAAGCCACUGGGUUCAGGAUAAGAACAAGAAACGAUAAGAAAAAUAGUUUAUCAGAAGCUAAAUACACAGAGUGCUGGCAUAACGUUCUGCAUUAUCAGUAGAUGGAUAAUCCUCUGUGUGGCAGGAAGUUUACCCAGUGCCGCAGAUAG